CCUACGGGAGGCAGCAGUGGGGAAUAUUGGACAAUGGGCGAAAGCCUGAUCCAGCCAUGCCGCGUGUGUGAAGAAGGCCUUCGGGUUGUAAAGCACUUUCAGUGGGGAAGAAAGCCUUGGGGCUAAUACCCUCGAGGAAAGACAUCACCCACAGAAGAAGCACCGGCUAACUCCGUGCCAGCAGCCGCGGUAAUACGGAGGGUGCGAGCGUUAAUCGGAAUUACUGGGCGUAAAGCGCGCGUAGGCGGUCUGAUAAGCCGGUUGUGAAAGCCCCGGGCUCAACCUGGGAACGGCAUCCGGAACUGUCAGGCUAGAGUGCAGGAGAGGAGGGUAGAAUUCCCGGUGUAGCGGUGAAAUGCGUAGAGAUCGGGAGGAAUACCAGUGGCGAAGGCGGCCUUCUGGACUGACACUGACGCUGAGGUGCGAAAGCGUGGGUAGCAAACAGGAUUAGAUACCCCAGUAGUC
rnacentral:rRNA from 1 species